rnacentral:rRNA from 1 species
ACGCUCGACACCUACGGGAGGCAGCAGUGGGGAAUAUUGCACAAUGGGGGAAACCCUGAUGCAGCGACGCCGCGUGAGCGAAGAAGUAUUUCGGUAUGUAAAGCUCUAUCAGCAGGGAAGAAACUGACGGUACCUGACUAAGAAGCACCGGCUAAAUACGUGCCGGCAGCCGCGGUAAUCUGAGCGGGCUGGCAAGGC